UGGCAGCUACUUGGGGA
rnacentral:misc_RNA from 1 species